rnacentral:RNase_P_RNA from 1 species
AGAGUCGGCCGGACAGUCGCUGUUUUGCCUUCGGGUAGAAGAGAGGAAAGUCCGGGCUCCAUUGGGCAGAGUGCCAGGUAAUGCCUGGGAGGCGCGAGUCUACGGAAAGUGCCACAGAAAAUAUACCGCCCCUCACCUAGAAUUUUCAUUCUAGGUGAGGGGUAAGGGUGAAAUGGUGCGGUAAGAGCGCACCGCGCGACUGGCAACAGGCGUGGCAGGGUAAACCCCACUCGGAGCAAGAUCAAAUAGGGGAACAGACGCGUGGCCCGCGCGGUUCCCGGGUAGAUCGCUCGAGCCGUAAGGUGACUUGCGGCCUAGAUGAAUGACUGUUCGCGACAGAACCCGGCUUACAGGCCGACUCUUUCC